GAUAAGGUAAGCUAAGUAUAAGCUAUUGGGCCCAUACCCCAACAAUGAAAUUAUUUCUCUUAUUA
rnacentral:tRNA from 1 species